rnacentral:lncRNA from 1 species
AGGAAGAUAAGGGAGAGAGAAGAUGAAGAUUGCUAGGAGAAAAUACAUACAUAUACAUAUUAUAUCUAUAUGUUUUCAUCAUCUAUAUAUACAAUUCAAUUAGGUAAAAACAAAUUUUUACUUCAUUACUGAUCUCCUUCCUCCUAAAAAGAAAAAGAAAGAAAAAUAGAGAGAGAGAGAGAGAGAGAAUAGAGAGGGUUCGGACAGCCCAUGAAGGAAGGAAAAUAGAGUUUUGUAAAUCCUCAUAGCUCACUUGGAAGGAAAAAGGAGAAAGAUAGCCAAAUUAAAGAUCAAAGGUAUAAACCUUAAUAACUAGUUUAUGUAUUUUAUUUCAAAUCAUAAGUUUAUGAUUUCAAAACCCCAAAACUCUUGAUAUACAUGUUUUUUAGUGUAUUAUAUUUAGAUCUAACCAUUUUGUGUGUCAAAAGUUGGAUCAAAAGAAAGAAAAUAAAAAUUAAUUUUUCAAGGCUAGAGAACCUUAACAUUUGGCUACUUUGAAAGGUUAUAAUUUAAGAUAUACACCUUUUUUGUGAUUCGUCAAAUAGGAGUGCUAGAUAUGUGAGUUAAUUGUUAAACCCAAGUGAUAGCACUCAAAAAUAUUGAUUUUUCAAGCCAUAUCACUUGUUUUGGUUGGAACAGUCUAGUUGAGGGAAAAAGAGGAAAAUAGUUGUUCUUGGUAAGUCCCUUCCAUGUGUAAUUUCGUCAAAUUUUGUUGGUUUAAAAAUUCUGGAAACAUUUGGUAGGAUAAUAUGAUGAGUUAACUGAGUCUAGUAAAAAGAUGGCGAUUUUUGGAUGUGUAGAAUGAGAGUUAUGGAUUUUACAAGAAAUGACUAUUUUAAAAGAGAACUAAAAUAACUUUUUUUGUGUAACUCCAAAAAUUAUGAAAUUUGUAUUGGAGGUAGAUUAUCAUGAAAAGAGUUUACCCUAAACAUUUCGUAAUUUUUUGGACAAAGUAAUGAUUUAUGAUAAUUGUGGCAAGAUCUGACUAUUUUAGACUCUUUAAAAAUAGUAAACGAAUGUGGAAAAUUCCAAAAAAAUAUAUGUUCAUGAGGGAAACUUAUUCUGUUGAUUCCCAGAACAUAAAAAUUUUCAGAUCUGUUUUGAUAUUUUUCAUGUAAAUGUUUGUGUUAUGAAUAAAUGGGAAUAAUAAGUUAUGUGAUGUCAUAAAUGGCAAAAAUAUAAUUUUAUGGCUUAAAGACUCUUCAUAUGAUAUGAUCAGAUUUUGGGAAGGUGUUUUGGUCAUUUUUGAUAAAAUGUUAUGUGUAUUGCAUUUUAGGUUUAUUAAAUAAAUGAAUUAGUAAAAGG